rnacentral:rRNA from 1 species
AACGGCAGGCAUAGGAGCUUGCUCCUUGGGUGGCGAGUGGCGGACGGGUGAGGAAUACGUCGGAAUCUGCCUAUUUGUGGGGGAUAACGUAGGGAAACUUACGCUAAUACCGCAUACGACCUUAGGGUGAAAGCGGAGGACCUUCGGGCUUCGCGCAGAUAGAUGAGCCGACGUCGGAUUAGCUAGUUGGCGGGGUAAAGGCUCACCAAGGCGACGAUCAGUAGCUGGUCUGAGAGGACGACCAGCCACACUGGGACUGAGACACGGCCCAGACUCCUACGGGAGGCAGCAGUGGGGAAUUUUGGACAAUGGGCGCAAGCCUGAUCCAGCAAUGCCGCGUGAGUGAAGAAGGCCUUCGGGUUGUAAAGCUCUUUUGUCAGGGAAGAAACGGUUUUGGCU